rnacentral:rRNA from 1 species
CAUGCAGGCGGUCGGACGCGUUUUGUGUGACAGCGGGUGGCUUAACUACCCGAGCAUGCGAAAGACGGUCGGACUUGAGGGCUCGAGAGGGACACGGAAUUCCGGGUGGAGUGGUGAAAUGCGUAGAGAUCCGGAGGAACACCGAAGGCGAAGGCAGUGUCCUGGCGAGUAUACCUGACGCUGAGGUGCGAAAGCCAGGGGAGCGAACG